GUGAUGGGAACUCUCUUUAUUAUCGUCUGCGUUGUUGUAAUACUAGUAGUCUGUGCAGCGAAGAUACAUAAUCGACCAGGACAAAGGAUACGGCCAAUGCAACAAUCUGGGCAAGCCAUCAUCGUAACGGCAAACCAUCAAAGCCGUCAAGGUCAAGCCAACUUCGACCGACCUAUAAAUGGACAUCCGUCAUACGAGCAAGAACACAAUGGAAAUUGGCGGCAAGUUAUCGGCAACAAGGCGGAAACCAGCGAUCUAGCAUAUCUCCCUAAUCAAACGAAUUGUUAGUGCCUGGAAUUUAGUGAAAUUAUGUAACAAUUUUCAUGAAAUAAUUUUCAAUGCGCUGGACAAAAUUCUCGGGCCAUGCUAAUGCAUAGUUAAAACAAAAUCAUUAACAAGUUUUAAAAUAUGAUAUACGAAUGUUUUGAUAUUUCUCUCUAUAUGAAUCAUUAUAAAUUAAGCAGAAAAUAUAAAAAUACGAUAUAUUUGAUCGCUUAUUAUUUAAAAGAUACUGAAUCU
rnacentral:lncRNA from 1 species